rfam:Paenibacillus sp. Soil522 contig_67, whole genome shotgun sequence.
UCCAUCGCGAGGUGGAAUCUGAAGGAAGCCGGCGGCAAAUCUCCGGUCUGAGGAACACGAACUUCAUAUAAGGCUAACGUACGUUGGAUGAGACUGCGCAACAAGUCAAAGUCCUUACUGCCGAAGGCGU